rnacentral:rRNA from 1 species
CACGCCGUAAACGAUGGACGCUAGGUGUGGGCGGUGUCGACUCCGUCCGUGCCGAAGCUAACGCAUUAAGCGUCCGCCUGGGGAGUACGGCCGCAAGGCUAAAACUCAAAGGAAUUGACGGGGACCCGCACAAGCAGCGGAGCAUGUUGUUUAAUUCGAUGCGACGCGAAGAACCUUACCUGGGCUUGACAUGCGCCUGUAAUCUCGGGAAACCGAGCCCCUCUUCGGAGCGGGUGCACAGGUGGUGCAUAGCUGUCGUCAGCUCGUGUCGUGAGAUGUUGGGUUAAGUCCCGCAACGAGCGCAACCCCUGUACUGUGUUGCCAG